rnacentral:rRNA from 1 species
ACCCCAGGUCAGGCGGGACUACCCG